CAGAGCAGAAGGGAGCCGUGGUAAUAUUGUAGUUCCAAGAGGUGGAGGAAGAGGAGGUGGUGGAGGAGGUGGUAGUGGAGGAGGAGGAGGAGGAGGUCCAAGAGUGAUCAUAAGAACAACUGAAAUAGUAAUAUCGAGAAACAAAUCAAAAUAACAUUCAACCUAUAAAGCACCAGACCUUUUAUUUUCUAAUAUGCUGUAUUUAACAAAGAACUGUAGUAUAGCUAAAUAGUGUUAUUAAAGAACAAUGAACUCUUUUGAGAA